AUGGAUUUGCUAACAUCACGUCAUCACAUUUAUGCAGUAUAUAUAUAGACGAUGUUCAACAAAUUGAUUAUUUAUACAUAUAUAUAUAUAUAUAUAUAUAUAUAUAUAUAUAUGAUUCCCGAUAAAAAUUUAAAAUUUUAUGUAACUUAUAAGAUCGACAUCAACUUGAAUUGAAAACGUUCGAUGAUUAAGAUAAACAUUAAUUAGAAAAACAUAUGAUCAUGGAUGGAACUUGCAUGGCUUAUCGAUUACGGACCAACUCAUCAGAAGAUGUCCACUAAACAUUAUUAUCAAAAGUCCUUUGAUUUAAAAGAUAACUGAAGCAAUUUAAUUAACAGAUGCAUGCCAACUUUCAAACAGAUAAUGCCAACUUUCGGAAACAUAUAGGAAUCAAUUAAAAUAAUUUUCGGUGGAAACAAAAUUAUCAAUAUCUAACCAAAAAGUGCAGCACCUAGCUACACUUUUUUCGUAGGCUCACUACAUUUGUUAUUCUGCAAAAUACAAGCUCCAAAGUCACAGUUUGUAGGCGAGAUUAAAUAAUUCAAGAAAGCCGGUUUAUCAUCCAAACCGAUAAUCCCUUUGACUCUCUGAGUUAACAACAUGAGAUGUAAAAUUGUUGAACAAAAAAAAAAAAAAAAAAAAACAUGAUGUAAAAAACUUAAGUAUGCUAUUCUCUUAAAAAAAGAUUACUAACAGAAAUAUGGUGAAUUUUCUUCGAACAAUCUAUAAUCCACUGAACUAAUUACUUUAAAGGCAAGAUUUUGAUAAAGAAUCACAUUGAAAAACUUUAAAAUUAUAUAUUCAUAUGAUAUAUUUUUUUUGAAAGAGAAUUAUAUAUUCA
rnacentral:lncRNA from 1 species